rnacentral:rRNA from 1 species
CCCUUAGAUGUUCGGGGCCGCACGCGCGCUACACUGAAGGAAUCAGCACGUCUUUCUCCUUGUCCGAAAGGACUGGGUAACCCGCUGAACCUCCUUCGUGCUAGGGAUUGGGGCUUGUAAUUCUUCCCCAUGAACGAGGAAUUCCCAGUAAGCGCGAGUCAUAAGCUCGCGUUGAUUACGUUCCUGCCCUUUGUACACACCGCCCGUCGCUACUACCGAUUGGAUGGUUUAGUGAGAUCCUCGGAUUGGUCCCGGAGCGGCCUCUGGUCGUGCCGGAGUGCCGAAAAGAAUGUCGAACUUGAUCAUCUAGAGGAAGUAAAAGUCGUAACA